GAAUGUGGUAUUGACACCUAAGAAAUGACAAAAUUGUGAAUCACACAUGGGAUAAAAGUUUAUUUAUAAAAGUGCUCCUCAAAUAAUAAGAAGGGGAUGUAGAGGAAUGUUGUUUUUUUUACUCCAAAUAUGGAGUUGGAUUUGCUCUAAUGGUUUACUCUAUAAUAGAGUUACACUAUUAUACAGUGAAAUAUAGAUGUUUUUAUACUCUAUAUUU
rnacentral:lncRNA from 1 species